rnacentral:rRNA from 1 species
UCUACGGGGGGCAGCAGUAGGGAAUAUUGCACAAUGGGCGCAAGCCUGAUGCAGCCAUGCCGCGUGUGUGAAGAAGGCCUUCGGGUUGUAAAGCACUUUCAGCGGGGAGGAAGGCGGUGAGGUUAAUAACCUCAUCGAUUGACGUUACCCGCAGAAGAAGCACCGGCUAACUCCGUGCCAGCAGCCGCGGUAAUACGGAGGGUGCAAGCGUUAAUCGGAAUUACUGGGCGUAAAGCGCACGCAGGCGGUCUGUCAAGUCGGAUGUGAAAUCCCCGGGCUCAACCUGGGAACUGCAUUCGAAACUGGCAGGCUAGAGUCUUGUAGAGGGGGGUAGAAUUCCAGGUGUAGCGGUGAAAUGCGUAGAGAUCUGGAGGAAUACCGGUGGCGAAGGCGGCCCCCUGGACAAAGACUGACGCUCAGGUGCGAAAGCGUGGGGAGCAAACAGGAUUAGAUACCCUAGUAGUC